rnacentral:lncRNA from 1 species
UUUGUAGUAGGUGAGGAUUAGUUGAAUACAGGUGGUGCGCGCGCUAGAGAGAAGGAGGUCCAAAAAGUCUGUUCCCCGAUAAGACACUCUCGAUGAAGGGAGAUCGAAAAAGUACUAAAGGCUAAGCAAAGUUCGAACAUUAAUGACAUGGAUAAAGAAACAGGGAGACAAGGUAUCAUGUGCUCAGAUGAGCUCGUUCAGACCGGGAAGAUAUAGGAAUUUAGUUGGCAAUUGGCAUCGUUAAAGGCAUCUCCACGCGGCCUCCAUAUAUUGGUCUUAGUACUCUGGGG